AAUUUUGGACAAGGGGGGAAACCCUGACCCAGCCAUCCCGCGUGUAUGAUGAAGGCCUUCGGGUUGUAAAGUACUUGUGGUAGAGAAGAAAAGGUACCUCCUAAUCCGCGGUCCUGCUGACGGAAUCUGCAGAAUAAGCACCGGCUAACUACGUGACAUCAGCCGCGGUAAUAGGUAGGGUGCAAGCGUUAAUCGGAAUUACUGGGCGUAAAGCGUGUGUAGGCGGUUCGGAAAGAAAGAUGUGAAAUCCCAGGGCUCAACCUUGGAACUGCAUUUUUAACUGCCGAGCUAGAGUAUGUCAGAGGGGGGUAGAAUUCCACGUGUAGCAGUGAAAUGCGUAGAUAUGUGGAGGAAUACCGAUGGCGAAGGCAGCCCCCUGGGAUAAUACUGACGCUCAGACACGAAAGCGUGGGGAGCAAACAG
rnacentral:rRNA from 1 species